UAGAGCCUACGGGACGCAGCAGUGGGGAAUAUUGCACAAUGGGGGGAACCCUGAUGCAGCGACGCCGCGUGAGUGAAGAAGUAUUUCGGUAUGUAAAGCUCUGUCAGCAGGGAAGAAGAAAGACGGUACCUGACCAAGAAGCCCCGGCUAACUACGUGCCAGCAGCCGCGGUAAUACGUAGGGGGCAAGCGUCAUCCGGAUUUACUGGGUGUAAAGGGAGCGUAGACGGCAGUGCAAGUCUGAAGUGAAAGGCAAGGGCUCAACCCUUGGACUGCUUUGGAAACUGUGCUGCUCGAGUGUCGGAG
rnacentral:rRNA from 1 species